rnacentral:lncRNA from 1 species
CAGAGAGCUCUGAGCCCUCAGGCACUACGGAGCAAGCUCGUGGUCGCCGGGAGGGGGUACUCCUGCCGGUGUUUACUGCCCCAGCCGGGGACACGCGGCGGCGCGAGCCCGCAUGACUGGUCCGCUCGUCCCAAGAGGAGGCAGAGCGAAGACUCGAGGCGGUGCCCGUUAGGGACGCGCUGCCCGGGGCUUAUGGGCUUUUUCUUGGGGACUGUACCCGCCGGGCUGGGGAGCGGAAAGGCUCGGGGAUUUUGCACACUGCAAGGAACUGUUGGGUUUAAACUAAAAAUACCCGCCCGCCCGCAGCUGUCACUCCAGGGCCCCCGCCCCCGGCGCGCCUCCCCAGGUCCCCUUGACUUUCGGCGACUCCGAUCCCCAGGGGACGUGCCAGGGCUGGGCGGGGGACUGAGGACCCGACCCUCCCAGCCCCCGGCCCGGCCACCCAGCCCCGGCACCCAGCCCCGAGCCACUUACCCGGCCGGGAGCGUGCGGGAGCGCGGCGCCGCGGGCAGUGCUGGCCGAGCCGCCCUCCUCCUCCCUGCGUCCCGGGCGGCUCCGGAGCGGGGCGGGGCCGGGGCGGGGCCCGGACACUCGCCCCCGCCCCGCCCAGUCCCCUCCGGACCCGCCGCGGGAGCCGCCCCGGGCCCCGCCACCUCGGCGGGUGGGAGAAGGACGAUCCUGGCUCUGCCCUCUUGGCAAAGGGCCGAGGAGCCCGGCCUCAGCCCGGUGGGCACCCCAUCGCGGACCCCCUCCCCCGGGGCAGGGGGGGAGCGCUGUCGUGGGGGCUCCGCACCCUCACCCCUGUCACCCCUGGCCCCGGGCCCACAACUGCCCUCUCCGCUCAGUAGCUUCCCCGAGCCUCGGCACCCCCCCCGCGCCUGCCUCGGCCCGGGUCUCAUCCUCGGGGAUGGCACGGAGCUGCCUCUCCUCAGGGGGAAGUUGGAUCUGGGGAGUUCCUCUGUGUGUCCCGCCUUGGGGAGGGGGCUAGGGGCCUGGAGGGUCUUGCCCUCUCAGAGCCCAAGUGGGGACAAAAGAAGGGGCACCCUUCCCGGAGGCGCGAAAUCCAAGGAGGAAGUGACACCUAUCAGCCAGCCUGAGAGUGGAGGCGCCCCAUCCGGCCCCUCCCACCCCACAGUCCCCGGAGCCACCACGCAAGGCAUCUUCAGGCCCCAGGCUCGGAUGGGAGAUCCCCAGGAUGCCAAGCGGAGGACAUGGGGGCGGAGGGUUAUAUUUUUACGCGGAGGCUCCCUGAACCCCACAUGUUACCAGCUCUGGCUUCAUGAAUGCGAUGAAUUCCUUAUGGGUCAAGGUUUUUGUUGAGAAAUUAAAGUACUCUGCAGAGAACAGCACCAGCCUUAGUAACAGUCACAGCUUCGCUCCGCGGUUUCCUUGGUUGCUGAACACGUGUGAUGUGCGAUUACUCUUCUGUCAGGACGUGAUGGCUACUCAGCCUUCCAGCUUCAUUGCUUUGGCUUAAACUACAGCAGACUAGGAACUUGGCUUGUUUGUUUGAUUUUGUUUUGAAACCUAAAUGCAGCCUUGAUAACGUCAGUGUUGCCAGACUUGGUGGAGGAGGCGGGGCAGAGUGAAAAACUCCUGGGACGGAAAUCUGACCUCUGACGUGGUACCUCCCAGGAUCUGCAUUCGCCCCCCCUCCCCCGGCCGGGGGGGGGGGGGGGGGGGGGGGGGGGGGGGGGGGGGGGGGGGGGGGGGGGGGCGGCAUCUCCCCACCUGUGUCCCCACAUCUGGAAAAAAGGGGCCAGGUCAUGCCCUGACCUCCUGUAGGAGCUGUUGUGAGGAUCACAGAGAAUAAGGACCGACCACGAGAAUGUUCGGUGCACACGUGCGCUGUUAUGGGAAAUGCGAUCCUCCAGGGACCGUGCUUGCCAACGAAAGUGCAUGACGGAGACCCACUCAGGAAAAGGCUGUGGGUAAGGCAGAGGUCUCUGCUCAGGAGGAAGAGCAAUCUUUUCUUGUUUCUGCUCCCUGGAGGCAUGUUUUCGCAGUGUUCUCUCCUUGCUUUCGGUCGGCUCGGCUGUUCUCAACAUGUGAUAAUCUUAGAAGGGCAGCAUGAUAGGCAGUGCGCCCAGAAAGGCGAGGGGAAUGGGGAAGCCUCUGAUCCUCGCCAGCAGACACUCAGAGGCCAGGCUGAGUGAGGGCAGCGGGACCCAGAAGGGCUUUUCUUGUCCCCACCUCCCAUCACCAUGCACACUGCCCGCUGGACUCUGCUCAGGGGAAGCCCACUCUUGGGGUGCAAUUGGCCCCGCCCACUACUGGAGUGACAGCAGCUUGUGUCAAACAGGUCAGACCUGCUGCAGCGCCAGAUCUUUUAACCCGCUGCACCAGGUGGGGGGUCGAACCUGCACCUCCGCAGUGACCCGAGCUGCUGCAGUCUGAUUCUUAACCCACAGCACCACAGCAGGAACCCCUGAAACCUGUUGCUCGACAGUUCUUGAUGGCCCUGAGAUGUUUCCCCAGCAGAAAAGGCCAUGCGACUGCAGGAGCCUCUUUCCAUCAAACCUUAGAAUCUUGUUGCAAACAACUGGCACCAGACACAUGCUUUCCAAACAGACUGCCGCAAGCCUUGCACUGCAAGAGCCCUGGCACCUGGCCUGGAAUCAUAAAGAACUUUAAUCUUCAGUUUUUUCUUUGAUGCUGUUGAGUUAGAGUGCAGAGAAAAACCUCAAGUGCCACCAGAUGUGCCUCCUGGCUUUUCAAAAGCCAUACUCAACAGAUAUUAGCAGCCCCCAUAAAGAGGCAGCACGUACUUCCUGUGUCCUUGGGUAUUUAAAAGGUCCUUGCUGGCACUACGCCAGCGGGAUUAGGCUUCUGCAAUCAAGGCUGUUUCACCAUCCAGGCUGAAAUGUUUGAUUUUGUCACUGAUGAAUCUGGGCAAAGGACUGGACCCUGUGUACUCAGUUCACAGACUCUCAGGUGGCCUAAAACACAGGUGCACACACACACAUAGAGCAGCCAAAAGGAGUUCCCUUGUGGUGUAUCAGAUUAAGGAUCUGGUGGGAGUUUCUGUCGUGGUGCAGCAGAAAGAAAUCCGACUGGGAACCAUGAGGUUGCAGGUUCAAUCCCUGGCAUCGCUCAAGGGGUUAAGGAUCUGGUGUUGCCAUGAGCUGUGGUGUAGGUCGCAGAUGUGGCUCACAUCCUGAGUUGCUGUGGCUGUGGUGUAGGCUGGCAGCUAUAGCUCUGAUUAGACCCCUAGCCUGGGAACCUCCACAUGCCAUGGGCACGGCCCUAAAAAAGCAAAAAAAAAAAAACGGGGAUCUGGUAUUGUCACUGCAGCAGUCUGGGUAGCUGCUACAGCACAGGUUUGAUCUCUGGACUGGGCACAUCCACAUGCCACAAGCGUGGCAGAAAAAAAUUUAAAUUAAAUUGAAUUAAUUAACAGCAGAAGGCACUUUAUAAAUGCACUGGCCUGGCUCCUUCAUGUUCCAGAGAUGAUGAGAGGGUCAGAGAGCUGCCAAAGGUCAGGAAAUGCCCGGAUGGCUUCAGCCCACAGCCAGUUACCUCCACUGCCAAACCCAGGGGACACUUGGGCUCCUAACAGCCCCGCCGGGGCCCCUCUCCUGGAGGCGCUUGCUGGUCCCCCUGCCUCCUUUCCAGUCUUCAUGCCUGUCCUUCCUGAGCUGCAUUCGGGCCCCAGCUUCCUUGCUCCACCUGCCCAAGUCUCCUUGCUCAUCAGGCCCAGAUGUGCAGGAGCAAAGUCAUCUGGAGUCCUCCCCCGCAUGUUUCAGAUAUAACCUACGGAUUUAGACAGAUGCCCUUCAGACUCCUCAGACUCAGAAUGACUGCAAGGAAUAGGUGACUGGCCCCUUCAAUCCUCCUGCCUCGCCUGUGGUCUCGGGCUCAGCAAGCAUGUGCCCCAGCCGCUAAGCCAGAAACGGAGGGGGAGCCUGAGUCCCGCCCUCUUCUCCCAGGUCCCCUCCCCACAUGGGCCGGUCACCUGAUGCUGUCCGUCCUACCCUCAAAGUAUCAAAUGUGCAUGCCCUUUGCAUUGGUGCCCUUCACUCACGGGACACAGGCCAGAGCCCUGGUGUGGCAUUUGACACGGUCUCCUGGCUGGCCUCCCCCUCCCCCGCCCCCAUCAGUGCCACCUCCAAUUCAUCAACGUGCCUACCAGGCCCAACGCUCAGGAACUCUGCAGCUUCUGGGGACCUUCUCUCAUGCUGAGGAUGAAAUCCUACGGCCCUCGGCUGCAUUCACUUGUCCGUGUUUCUAUUAGACAAACACCCUGGGAGUUCCUGACAUGGCUCAGCAGAAACAAAUCCAACUAGCAUCCAUGAGGACACAAGUUCGAUCCCUGGCCUCGCUCAGUGGGCUAAAGAUCCGGCCAUGCCAUGAGCUGUGGUGUAGGUCCCAGACACAGCUCUGAUCCUAUGUUGCUGUGGCUGUGGUAAAGGCCAGCAGCUACAGCUCCGAUUUCACCCCUAGCCCGGGAACCUCCAUAUGCCAUGGGUGUGGCCAUUUAAAGAAAAAAAAGGAAAGAAAAAGAAAAACACUCCGUCUCACCCCCUCCCCCCGCCCCAGGAUGCCUGGGCCUUUGUGCCUCUGCAGUGUUGUUUCCUCUCCCUGGAAUGUCCUUCCCUUUUAUUUAUUUAUUUAUUUUUCUUUUUAAAAAUUAAAAAAAAUUUUUUGGUUUUUAGGGCUGCACCCACGGCAUAUGGAGAUUCCCAGGCUAGGGGUGAAAUUGGAGCUGUAGCCACCAGCCUUCGCCACAACCACAG